CUAACUCCGCCUCCCAGCUGUUUUUUGUCAUUGAAGAGGCGGAGACUUACAGCCGUGCGAAGAGGCGCUGUUUCCUGGCGCUGGUUUUCGGCCUGCGUCUGGAGAUGGAAAAUGAGCUCAGAGCGGAUGAGCGGCCUGCUCAGGUUUCCACAGAAGGUGGCAGAGCUAGGAUUUGAACCCUGCUUGUGACUACUUGAGAGGAAAAGGGGCAAACUCCUUAGAAAGUUAUCGCUGCUCCGCCACAGCCUCACUUUACCACAAGGGACAUGAAUAUCAAUCAACCUGGUAAUGGAGUACCCUCAGAUGGCGACUAGGAACCAGCUCACCGAUUAGCUGUGUCACCUGUCUGUGUAUUGGUGUCCACCCACGUCAAAGCCAUCUGUACGGUGCCAAGAACGAUUCGGAUUUGAGAGAUGAAUAUUGUCAGCGUUUGGUGUGUGUUGGGAGGAGACUAGCUGUUGCAACAUCACGGAUGAUUGUCAUCCCCACCGUGAUCCUGUAGAAAUUUUGCGACAGAGAUGUUCAACCGAGAAACUGUUCUCCGUUUUCCUGAGUGCACAGUGGAGAUGUUAAGUACUUCAGUUACUGCUCUGAUUAAAAUCUAAAUGGCUAUCACUUUCAGAGAAAUGUCCAAAUUUCUUUACCCUGUUCAACAAGGGAUGGAGAACACCACCACUUUGGGACGUAUUUUAAUUUUCUUUUGUGUUCAGGCUUUCUAUACAAGUUACCUGGAGCAAAUUAAUUAAGCCAGAAGGGCUUUUAUGAGCCCGAUUAGAUGGAACUCAUCUUAAAAUGCCUGAGGAUCCUCCAGAGAGGGGACCGGUCCUUUGAAGAUGAAUUACCAUGAAUCAGGAAAGCAUUCUGUUGUUGUUGACCUCACUGUGUGCUGGCAAUCUAGGGCUGGGCCAGGGGGCUAUGAUCUUGCCCUCAAGCUUCUUUGAUGUGCACAAACGCAAAGAAGGUGCACUUGGAGUGACAGUGGGGUGACUUCACGGGAAGUGAAGAGCUCAUUGUCCUCUGUACGUUGUGAUGACUUCUCGGGUAGCUUACGGCCAAGAGAACCUUUAAGCAAGAACACUGUGUGAAUGUCCGGCUCUCAGAUUCCGAGUCACUAAGAAGUCCCGAA